rnacentral:rRNA from 1 species
UGCAGUCGAGCGAACAGAUAAGGAGCUUGCUCCUUUGACGUUAGCGGCGGACGGGUGAGUAACACGUGGGUAACCUACCUAUAAGACUGGAAUAACUCCGGGAAACCGGGGCUAAUGCCGGAUAACAUGUUGAACCGCAUGGUUCUACAGUGAAAGGCGGCUUUGCUGUCACUUAUAGAUGGACCCGCGCCGUAUUAGCUAGUUGGUGAGGUAAUGGCUCACCAAGGCAACGAUACGUAGCCGACCUGAGAGGGUGAUCGGCCACACUGGAACUGAGACACGGUCCAGACUCCUACGGGAGGCAGCAGUAGGGAAUCUUCCGCAAUGGGCGAAAGCCUGACGGAGCAACGCCGCGUGAGUGAUGAAGGUCUUCGGAUCGUAAAACUCUGUUAUUAGGGAAGAACAAAUGCGUAAGUAACUGUGCGCGUCUUGACGGUACCUAAUCAGAAAGCCACGGCUAACUACGUGCCAGCAGCCGCGGUAAUACGUAGGUGGCAAGCGUUAUCCGGAAUUAUUGGGCGUAAAGCGCGCGUAGGCGGUUUUUUAAGUCUGAUGUGAAAGCCCACGGCUCAACCGUGGAGGGUCAUUGGAAACUGAAAAACUUGAGUGCAGAAGAGGAAAGUGGAAUUCCAUGUGUAGCGGUGAAAUGCGCAGAGAUAUGGAGGAACACCAGUGGCGAAGGCGACUUUCUGGUCUGUAACUGACGCUGAUGUGCGAAAGCGUGGGGAUCAAACAGGAUUAGAUACCCUGGUAGUCCACGCCGUAAACGAUGAGUGCUAAGUGUUAGGGGGUUUCCGCCCCUUAGUGCUGCAGCUAACGCAUUAAGCACUCCGCCUGGGGAGUACGGCCGCAAGGCUUAAACUCAAAGGAAUUGACGGGGACCCGCACAAGCGGUGGAACAUGUGGUUUAAUUCGAAGCAACGCGAAGAACCUUACCAAAUCUUGACAUCCUUUGACCGCUCUAGAGAUAAAUCUUCCCCUU